rnacentral:rRNA from 1 species
UACGGAGGAGGCAAGCGUUAUCCGGAAUUAUUGGGCGUAAAGCGUCCGUAGGUGGCUAGUCAAGUCUGCGGUCAAAGACUGGGGCUUAACCCUGGAAAGGCCGUGGAAACUGACGAGCUAGAGUGCGGAAGAGGCGAGUGGAAUUCCUGGUGUAGCGGUGAAAUGCGCAGAUAUCAGGAGGAACACCAAUUGCGAAGGCAGCUCGCUGGGACGUCACUGACGCUGAGACGCGAAAGCGUGGGGAGCAAACAGG